CCUGCCUCCAACUCUCUGUCGGCCGAUCAGUUAUCUCUCGGCCAUCCGCACUUAGUGGAAGCGCGUUUCGUCGAAAUGAUCACUGAUUCCAGGAACUGGCGCAGGAACCUCAACAACUCAAAUUCAUCCUUCGGGCCCCCCCACCCCCCUACUACUACUACUCUGCUCUCAUCUCACUUUCCUGUACCCUCCCCUCUUUUUUCCCGAAAUCUCCUCCUCUUUCUGGCUCUUACGACGACGACAACACCGAGAUGAACUGUCGCCCGAGACUUCAGUCUUCGUCCAGCUCGCCCAGUCUUCACCAGCCUCUCCAUAUCUCAGCUUGAGCACCGAAACAGUUCAUCGACGGAGAGAAAAAGAGACUCACCGGCGGGCGACGAAGCAGAUGGCGACGACGAUAAGGACGGCGACGGCAGCAGCGAAAGUGAUGCCCACGAUCUGCGCAAUCGAUAGUCCUGUUUGGAGGAAACAACAAGAUGGAUUAGAUUUUUAAAAUAUGCACACACAAACAAACGUCAUACAUAUACUUUUCUUAAAAUGUAACAAUCGAUCGAUCUCGACAAAUAAAGAAAAAUAACCCAUCGA